GUUUCUUCACUAUCAAGGCAGAUUUAGGGAAAAUUGAAAGACUAAAAAAAACUUAUGAAAAGCGGCUGGUUCUCCCUAAAGCUCCAAAAUACUGAGAGCCUGAAAUUGGUAUUACACUCGACCAUGAAAUGCAAAGCUGAGAUGUUGUUGGUUUGGAUGAUUGAAAUAUAAAUCUGUGUCGUUUUUAGUUCAUUUAGAACACCAUCAUGUUUUCUUUCUAUUAGUUUCCUUCUUCAUCUAUUUAAAGUUUUUUUAUGUCAUUAUGUAAAAUGAAACCUAUCUUGGUUCAGUUUGCAGUUGAAAGUCAGCAAUUGAUUUUUCAUGUGUACCUAACGACUGGGUUGUUCUUCCUCUUGUAUAUAUCUGGGCUGUGUUGGAUUUUAUAUGAAGCAUUAGCGUGAGUUAUGAUGAAAAUAUAAGAACUAUAGCUAGGUUUAUUUCUCGUUGGCAUGACCGUAAUGUAUACAGUACUGGAGGAUUCAGAGAA